ensembl:lncRNA
GAAGGCGGCGGCGCUGGGGGGGAGAAGCGGCGACACCCAGACAUCCAGCUCCUCCUCCGACUGUCAGGUCCUCCCCUCGUGGGGUCCGUCCCGAAAGCCUUCGCUAAGAUGGCAAGAAAACAAAAUCCCCUCAGGUGGGGGCACAGUGCUGCUCUCACUUGGGCUUCGGAGACUGGAGUCAUUUGGGGAAGAUUGGGGGGGCAGCCUGGAGUCAGGAGGAAGGGAAGCCAGCAGACACCGCUUCGGGCCUGUCCGUGCUCAGCCGCUGUUCCCUAAGAGUGAUGUACUAUUCCCAGUGUUGCCGGUCCUGUGCCUGGAAGCCAAGCCCUCCCGAUUACCAGAAGGUUCUGUAGAGGCUGCCCUGCGGGCCCCGCCCAGCAGCACCCCCAGGGAGGGCGCGCACGUGGGUCCGUGCGUGGGGGGAGAGGAGGAUGGGGCAGGGCUCCAGGCAGGGGUCAUGACCAGGAUUAUCGUCGCGAAGGUCAAAUGAGGUCAGGGAUCUAAGGCUUUGCAGAAGUGAAAGGUGACUGUUAUUUGUUGCUACUCUGCCUAAAGGAGAAAUCCGAGUGGCCCCGGGGGAUUCCGGUUUGCAGCUGUCACUUAUUUAUUCAAGUGGAAGAAAAUCUGAAGGUGGUGGAGAUCUAGUCCUUAAAUCUCAAAGAGCAUGGGAGAAGAAAGGAUGAUAGGGGAGGCAUUCUGGGGUCACUGCGAGCUGAGUCACAGUGGGAAAGAAGCUAAGACCACAAGAGAUCUUGAGCUGGGCAGGGACUUCAGCAACAGAAGGAGGAGGAGGUGGAGAUGGAGUCCUGGCUGGUACUUUUAGAACUCGGGGGCUCAAAUAGAUUCAAUAAGAGCACAAGCGUUUGCUAUCAUUCCACGCGGUUGCCGCCGCCUCCUGCUCAGAAAGCUGCCGAAAGGCUGAUUCCUGGAUCACGCUUCCCCUGCGUCAGCCUGCCCUCUAGUGGAAGACGGCGGUGUGACAGGAGCGCGGCUCUUCCCCAUUUCCGGUCUUCAAAAUCAACAACUGACCUUAAGGCAAAGACCACUCUGAUGGGGCUGACCACAGGUACCCAGGACCCUCCAUCAGUGCCAAGUACCAGACAGAUACCAGACAGACUUCACUCCAUCAGCUUAGUGUCACCUCUGUGCAAGCCGUCGUUCACUUCUCUCCCUGGGCCUCAUUAUCUCCACCUGUAAAAUGGGCCCAGCAGUGACUACCGAUGAGAUCGUUGUGGGGAUUAGCUGGAAGGGCGUAUGUGAAAGCACCUCAUCCAGAGUCUGGCAUAUAAUAGAAUGACCCUCCUCAGCCUCACUCCAAUUCCUGUGCAACAAUACCGAGCUCCUGGGAAAACCAAAGGGAAGGCAGAGACACAACCGUGUGACCAAAAGAAGAGACUGUGUCAUCACUUGGGAAUAAAAGCAUCAAGUGCAGCCGCAGAUCCAGAACAACUCUGGAACCAGCUGUCCCACCUGCCCUGAGUGAGACCAUGAGGCUCCACCCCCAAACACCUGGGCUUUGAUCUUUUGCAAAAGAUGGGGACAGCAAGAGAGCAUCUUGAGGACCCUACAGGAACAUGGGGAUGAACAAAACUCACUUCACUUUGCCCCCAGAAAUAAAGACACUGAGAAGGAGCAG